rnacentral:rRNA from 1 species
GACGAACGCUGGCGGCGUGCCUAAUACAUGCAAGUAGAACGCUGAAGGAGGAGCUUGCUUCUCUGGAUGAGUUGCGAACGGGUGAGUAACGCGUAGGUAACCUGCCUGGUAGCGGGGGAUAACUAUUGGAAACGAUAGCUAAUACCGCAUAAGAGUAGAUGUUGCAUGACAUUUGCUUAAAAGGUGCAAUUGCAUCACUACCAGAUGGACCUGCGUUGUAUUAGCUAGUUGGUGGGGUAACGGCUUACCAAGGCGACGAUACAUAGCCGACCUGAGAGGGGGAUCGGCCACACUGGGACUGAGACACGGCCCAGACUCCUACGGGAGGCAGCAGUAGGGAAUCUUCGGCAAUGGACGGAAGUCUGACCGAGCAACGCCGCGUGAGUGAAGAAGGUUGUCGGAUCGUAAAGCUCUGUUGUAAGAGAAGAACGAGUGUGAGAGUGGAAAGUUCACACUGUGACGGUAUCUUACCAGAAAGGGACGGCUAACUACGUG